AAUUAAGUGACUGAAUAAUUAAGUAAUAAAUUGUAAAUUUAUAAAUAAGAUUAAAACCCUUCUUAAUUA
rnacentral:tRNA from 1 species